UACGGAGGGGGCGAGCGUUAUUCGGAAUUAUUGGGCGUAAAGGGCGCGUAGGCGGCCUUGUAAGUCAAAGGUGAAAUCCCUCGGCUCAACUGAGGAACUGCCUUUGAAACUGCAAGGCUUGAGGCCGGGAGGGGGUAGCGGAAUUCCCAAUGUAGCGGUGAAAUUCGUAGAUAUUCGGAGGAACACCAGUGGCGAAGGCGGCUCACUGGUCCGGUACUGACGCUGAGGUGCGAAAGCGUGGGGAGCAAACAGG
rnacentral:rRNA from 1 species